rnacentral:rRNA from 1 species
GACGAACGCUGGCGGCGUGCCUAAUACAUGCAAGUAGAACGCACAGUUUAUACCGUAGCUUGCUACACCAUAGACUGUGAGUUGCGAACGGGUGAGUAACGCGUAGGUAACCUGCCUGGUAGCGGGGGAUAACUAUUGGAAACGAUAGCUAAUACCGCAUAAUAUUAAUUAUUGCAUGAUAAUUAAUUGAAAGGUGCAAUUGCACCACUACCAGAUGGACCUGCGUUGUAUUAGCUAGUAGGUGGGGUAACGGCUCACCUAGGCGACGAUACAUAGCCGACCUGAGAGGGUGAUCGGCCACACUGGGACUGAGACACGGCCCAGACUCCUACGGGAGGCAGCAGUAGGGAAUCUUCGGCAAUGGACGAAAGUCUGACCGAGCAACGCCGCGGGAGUGAAGAAAGUUUUCGGAUCGUAAAGCUCGGUUGUAAGAGAAGAACGGGUGUGAGAGUGGAAAGUUCACACUGUGACGGUAUCUUACCAGAAAGGGACGGCUAACUACGUG